rnacentral:rRNA from 1 species
CGAAUACCGGAGAAUGUUAUCACGGGAGACACACGGCGGGUGCUAACGUCCGUCGUGAAGAGGGAAACAACCCAGACCGCCAGCUAAGGUCCCAAAGUCAUGGUUAAGUGGGAAACGAUGUGGGAAGGCCCAGACAGCCAGGAUGUUGGCUUAGAAGCAGCCAUCAUUUAAAGAAAGCGUAAUAGCUCACUGGUCGAGUCGGCCUGCGCGGAAGAUGUAACGGGGCUAAACCAUGCACCGAAGCUGCGGCAGCGACGCUGAUGCGUUGUUGGGUAGGGGAGCGUUCUGUAAGCCUGCGAAGGUGUGCUGUGAGGCAUGCUGGAGGUAUCAGAAGUGCGAAUGCUGACAUAAGUAACGAUAAAGCGGGUGAAAAGCCCGCUCGCCGGAAGACCAAGGGUUCCUGUCCAACGUUAAUCGGGGCAGGGUGAGUCGACCCCUAAGGCGAGGCCGAAAGGCGUAGUCGAUGGGAAACAGGUUAAUAUUCCUGUACUUGGUGUUACUGCGAAGGGGGGACGGAGAAGGCUAUGUUGGCCGGGCGACGGUUGUCCCGGUUUAAGCGUGUAGGCUGGUUUUCCAGGCAAAUCCGGAAAAUCAAGGCUGAGGCGUGAUGACGAGGCACUACGGUGCUGAAGCAACAAAUGCCCUGCUUCCAGGAAAAGCCUCUAAGCAUCAGGUAACAUCAAAUCGUACCCCAAACCGACACAGGUGGUCAGGUAGAGAAUACCAAGGCGCUUGAGAGAACUCGGGUGAAGGAACUAGGCAAAAUGGUGCCGUAACUUCGGGAGAAGGCACGCUGAUAUGUAGGUGAAGUCCCUCGCGGAUGGAGCUGAAAUCAGUCGAAGAUACCAGCUGGCUGCAACUGUUUAUUAAAAACACAGCACUGUGCAAACACGAAAGUGGACGUAUACGGUGUGACGCCUGCCCGGUGCCGGAAGGUUAAUUGAUGGGGUUAGCGCAAGCGAAGCUCUUGAUCGAAGCCCCGGUAAACGGCGGCCGUAACUAUAACGGUCCUAAGGUAGCGAAAUUCCUUGUCGGGUAAGUUCCGACCUGCACGAAUGGCGUAAUGAUGGCCAGGCUGUCUCCACCCGAGACUCAGUGAAAUUGAACUCGCUGUGAAGAUGCAGUGUACCCGCGGCAAGACGGAAAGACCCCGUGAACCUUUACUAUAGCUUGACACUGAACAUUGAGCCUUGAUGUGUAGGAUAGGUGGGAGGCUUUGAAGUGUGGACGCCAGUCUGCAUGGAGCCGACCUUGAAAUACCACCCUUUAAUGUUUGAUGUUCUAACGUGGACCCGUAAUCCGGGUUGCGGACAGUGUCUGGUGGGUAGUUUGACUGGGGCGGUCUCCUCCUAAAGAGUAACGGAGGAGCACGAAGGUUGGCUAAUCCUGGUCGGACAUCAGGAGGUUAGUGCAAUGGCAUAAGCCAGCUUGACUGCGAGCGUGACGGCGCGAGCAGGUGCGAAAGCAGGUCAUAGUGAUCCGGUGGUUCUGAAUGGAAGGGCCAUCGCUCAACGGAUAAAAGGUACUCCGGGGAUAACAGGCUGAUACCGCCCAAGAGUUCAUAUCGACGGCGGUGUUUGGCACCUCGAUGUCGGCUCAUCACAUCCUGGGGCUGAAGUAGGUCCCAAGGGUAUGGCUGUUCGCCAUUUAAAGUGGUACGCGAGCUGGGUUUAGAACGUCGUGAGACAGUUCGGUCCCUAUCUGCCGUGGGCGCUGGAGAACUGAGGGGGGCUGCUCCUAGUACGAGAGGACCGGAGUGGACGCAUCACUGGUGUUCGGGUUGUCAUGCCAAUGGCACUGCCCGGUAGCUAAAUGCGGAAGAGAUAAGUGCUGAAAGCAUCUAAGCACGAAACUUGCCCCGAGAUGAGUUCUCCCUGACUCCUUGAGAGUCCUGAAGGAACGUUGAAGACGACGACGUUGAUAGGCCGGGUGUGUAAGCGCAGCGAUGCGUUGAGCUAACCGGUACUAAUGAACCGUGAGGCUUAACCUUACAACGCCGAAGCUGUU